GUACGUAGGUUAGGUUUAGGCAAGUGAAGUUGCAUAGGUUAGGUUUAGGCAAAUGAAGUUACAUAGGUUAGGGUUAGGCAAGUAAAGUUACAUAGGUUAGGUUUAGGCAAAUGAAGUUACAUAGGUUAGGGUUAGGCAAGUAAAGUUACAUAGGUUAGGUUUAGGCAAAUGAAGUUACAUAGGUUAGGGUUAGGCAAGUAAAGUUACAUAGGUUAGGUUUAGGCAAGUAAAGUUACAUAGGUUAGGUUUAGUCAAGUGAAGGUACGUAGGUUAGGUUUAGGCAAGUGAAGUUGCAUAGGUUAGGUUUAGGCAAAUGAAGUUACAUAGGUUAGGGUUAGGCAAGUAAAGUUACAUAGGUUAGGUUUAGGCAAGUAAAGUUACAUAGGUUAGGUUUAGGCAAGUAAAGUUAUGUUGGUUAGGUUUCGGCAAGUAAAGUUACAUAGGUUAGGUUUCGGCAAGUAAAGUUACAUAGGUUAGGUUUAGGCAAGUAAAGUUACAUUCUGUAGGUUAGGUUUAGGAAAGGGUUAGGUUUCGGCAAGUAAAGUUACAUAGGUUAGGUUUAGGCAAGUAAAGUUAUGUAGGUUAGGUUUUGGCAAGUAAAGUUACAUAGGUUAGGUUUCGGCAAGUAAAGUUAUGUUGGUUAGGUUUAGGCAAGUAAAGUUACAUAGGCUGGUUGAGGAAAAGAGACAUGGUGACAUGCCAAAAAACAACUCAAAGCACUUGGUUUCACAUGUGUCUGAACACCAGUGUCCUGGGGGAAAGUCCUGUUUUGAUUGACACAUCCACCACCUCAACCUGCCUCCUUA